rnacentral:tRNA from 1 species
CCGACCUUAGCUCAGUUGGUAGAGCGGAGGACUGUAGGGUUGCAGAUAAAUCCUUAGGUCGCUGGUUCGAAUCCGGCAGGUCGGA